rnacentral:tRNA from 1 species
GCCUGGCUGGCUCACUUGGUGGAGCAUGUGACUCUUGAUCUUGGUGUUAUGAGUUCAAGCCCCAUGUUGGGUA